rnacentral:rRNA from 1 species
CCCUUAGAUGUUCUGGGCCGCACGCGCGCUACACUGAUGCAUUCAACGAGUCCAACCUUGACCGAGAGGUCCGGGUAAUCUUUGAAACUGCAUCGUGAUGGAGCUAGAUUAUUGCAAUUAUUAAUCUUCAACGAGGAAUGCCUAGUAAGCGUGAUUCAUCAAAUCGCGUUGAUUACGUCCCUGCCCUUUGUACACACCGCCCGUCGCUCCUACCGAUUGAGUGUGUUGGUGAGGAGUUUGGAUUGGCCUCGGAAGGUGGUUCGCCACCGUCCGUAGCUGAGAAGUUCUCCAAACCGCCCCACUUAGAGGAAGGAGAAGUCGUAACA